CCCCCUUGUCCAUAAACUCGUCAUGGAACGGGUGACAGCAUUUAAGCUAUUUAUCCCUCCUGUUGAAUGGCAAUUGCCGUAACACCCUAGGAAGUUAUUUCAGAAACUCCUCUAAUAAAAUAUUUUCCAGCCUGCAUUCACGUACAGCCAAUUCCUAGUCAUGGGUUUAUAUUCAUAAAGCUACAUCACACUGGUGGUUCAUAUCCAAACCGUAAGGACCUUCAGGUGCUCACCUCUCAUAAACCCCUGAUGUGAUAUUACUUCUGAACCACGCUAGCCCCAAUUCCAGAAAACUUCUGCGAGAGGUGUUUGGGGAGGAAAGAAUUCUGCUGAUCACCCAAGCCUCCAUUUCUUUGAGCAUUGCCAUCCUUUUCACCAGCCUGGUGAAGAUGCUCUGGUGUAAUUCAGUGGGAAUCUGGCAGUGUUGUUUGACCAAAUGU